rnacentral:rRNA from 1 species
CCUACGGGUCGCACCAGUGGGGGAUAUUGCACAAUGGGCGCAAGCCUGAUGCAGCCAUGCCGCGUGUAUGAAGAGGGCCUUCGGGUUGUAAAGUACUUUCAGCGGGGAGGAAGGGAGUAAGGUUAAUAACCUUAUUCAUUGACGUUACCCGCAGAAGAAGCACCGGCUAACUCCGUGCCAGCAGCCGCGGUAAUACGGAGGGUGCAAGCGUUAAUCGGAAUUACUGGGCGUAAAGCGCACGCAGGCGGUCUGUCAAGUCGGAUGUGAAAUCCCCGGGCUCAACCUGGGAACUGCAUUCGAAACUGGAAGGCUGGAGUCUUGUAGGGGGGGGUAGAAUUCCAGGUGUAGCGGUGAAAUGCGUAGAGAUCUGGAGGAAUACCGGUGGCGAAGGCGGCCCCCUGGACAAAGACUGACGCUCAGGUGCGAAAGCGUGGGGAGCAAACAGGAUUAGAUACCCCAGUAGUC